UACGUAGGGGGCAAGCGUUGUCCGGAUUUAUUGGGGGUAAAGAGCGUGUAGGCGGCUAGGUAGGUCCGUUGUGAAAACUCGAGGCUCAACCUCGAGACGCCGGUGGAAACCAUCUAGCUAGAGUCCGGAAGAGGAGAGUGGAAUUCCUGGUGUAGCGGUGAAAUGCGCAGAUAUCAGGAAGAACACCCGUGGCGAAGGCGGCUCUCUGGGACGUGACUGACGCUGAGACGCGAAAGCGUGGGGAGCGAACAGG
rnacentral:rRNA from 1 species